rnacentral:sRNA from 1 species
ACUGUGCCUCCAUUUGGUGCACUAGUUGCUGCUGUUUUCCAGCCCUAAAGACAAAUUGGGUUCCAGCUCAGGAGAGGUUGCUGUGCUAUCUUGGCUGACAUUCUGUGGGGCCUGGCAGCCAGGCUGAGGACUGUGUGGCCUAUGCUGGGCCUCCAACUUGGGAUCCCUUCCUUGGCCCAGGACAUUGAGUUAAUGUCCUUUACUCUCCUAGUUAGGCAGUAUGCUCCUUGUCCCUGCCCACAGGGCAGCGAGGGUUUCCUGGAAGAGAGGAGCAAACAGGCAGUGCCCACACACUGAGGAGCAGCAGGUGGAUGUGGGCAGCCCAGAGAACCAGGACACAAGCUCUGUGCAGAUGCCUUCAGCAGAGGGCUCCAGCUUCCCAGUCUUGGCUGAACAGCUCCAACCCGUAGGGGUUGACCUUCCUUAAAAGGUCCAGUUCUUGCUGUUUGGCUAUUUUAAGCUCCGGUCUUCUGGGGUUUCACUCAGCUGGCCCUGGCUUCAGCAGUUGCUUCCCUCUGAAGGCCUUGCGUAGAGGCCAAGAGUGAAGUGCAGGGACUUCUCUGCUGUGAUGUGGCUUAAGUUUCCCUGACACCUGUUGAGUGUCCUCAUAACUUCCCUUCUGGUGCCCCUCCCCAGCUCUUGAGACACAGCUGCAGCUACAAGUGUGCAGUGUCAGUGUUCAAGAAAGUGCCUGGCAGAGGGGCUUCAGAAGGGUCCCCUGCCCUCCAAAGGAGCUUUGGCAGGCAGAGCUGCUCCUGCAGCAACACUCGCAUUUCCUGUUCUUGCCUGCUGAGUAGCACCUAGAUUUCUAAGCCUCACCUAAUAGAUACUCAGAUUUGACUCUGGGCCUUUUAUAGCCCAGUUGCUGGGACUGUUUCAGGAGCUAGGAGCCGUGUGCGGCAGGGAGAGGGCACAAAAGUAGAGAAGCUGAUGAUUCCCAGGGGGCUGGUCAGCUCUGCUACUGCUCCUUGCAGAUGUCAAGAGUCAGGUGCUAGUCACGUGCUACUUGGCUUGUCGCUGUCAUUGGCAGCGAGAGGAAUGGGUGCUGGUGACAUGGGGCCAGGGCUGCCUCUUUGUGUCAGAGUUCAGGGUGUAGGAAGGGUUCUGCCAACCAUGGGCUGUGUGGGUAAGUGGGUGAGGCUGACCUUGUUGGGUCAAGAUGAUCCUGAGCCCUUGGCCUGUGGAACGGGGGUAGAGGGCAAAUGGUAGCCUAGCAUGCUGUGGGGGAUAUAGGAUGAGGGGCUGCCGGAGCCUCGGGAGGGGUCCUGGGGAGCAGAUGUUGAAGAGGCCAGAGCCCUCAGUGAGCUGGCCAGUGAGCUGGAUGAGAGGGUGAGCUGUUUGAAUGUCCUGAGGUACUUCCUGGGGCCUCGUGUAAUGGUCUCUUCUGUAUGUCCCCCAUCCCAUCUCAGGUCUGCUCACCAGGUGGCCAGAUACCGCCCACGUGCCCCCAUCAUUGCUGUGACCCGGAAUCCCCAGACAGCUCGUCAGGCCCACCUGUACCGUGGCAUCUUCCCUGUGCUGUGCAAGGACCCAGUCCAGGAGGCCUGGGCUGAGGACGUGGACCUCCGCGUGAACUUUGCCAUGAAUGUUGGCAAGGCCCGAGGCUUCUUCAAGAAGGGAGAUGUGGUCAUUGUGCUGACCGGAUGGCGCCCUGGCUCCGGUUUCACCAACACCAUGCGUGUUGUUCCUGUGCCGUGAUGGACCCCAGAGCCCCUCCUCCAGCCCCUGUCCCACCCCCUUCCCCCAACACAUCCAUUAGGCCAGCAACGCUUGUAGAACUCACUCUGGGCUGUAAUGUGGCACUGGUGGGCUGGGACACCAGGGAAGAUCAACGCCUCACUGAAACAUGGCUGUGUUUGCAGCCUGCUCUAGUGGGACAGCCCAGAGCCUGGCUGCCCAUCAUGUGGCCCCACCCAAUCAAGGGAAGAAGGAGGAAUGCUGGACUGGAGGCCCCUGGAGCCAGAUGGCAAGAGGGUGACAGCUUCCUUUCCUGUGUGUACUCUGUCCAGUUCCUUUAGAAAAAAUGGAUGCCCAGAGGACUCCCAAUCCUGGCCUGGGGUCAAGAAGCAGCCAGCGAGAGUUAGGGGCCUUAGGGCACCGGGCUGUUGUUCCAUUGAAGCCGACUCUGGCCCUGGCCCUUACUUGCUUCUCCAGCUCCCUAGGCCUCUCCGGUUCGCACCUGUCCCCGCCCUCCACUCAGCUGUCCUGCAGCAAACACUCCACCCUCCACCUUCCAUUUUCCCCCACUACUGCAGCACCUCCAGGCCUGUUGCUAUAGAGCCUACCUGUAUGUCAAUAAACAACAGCUG